rnacentral:rRNA from 1 species
GAUGAACGCUGGCGGCGUGCCUAAUACAUGCAAGUCGAGCGAACAGACGAGGAGCUUGCUCCUCUGACGUUAGCGGCGGACGGGUGAGUAACACGUGGAUAACCUACCUAUAAGACUGGGAUAACUUCGGGAAACCGGAGCUAAUACCGGAUAAUAUAUUGAACCGCAUGGUUCAAUAGUGAAGGACGGUUUUGCUGUCACUUAUAGAUGGAUCCGCGCCGCAUUAGCUAGUUGGUAAGGUAACGGCUUACCAAGGCGACGAUGCGUAGCCGACCUGAGAGGGUGCUCGGCCACACUGGAACUGAGACACGGUCCAGACUCCUACGGGAGGCAGCAGUAGGGAAUCUUCCGCAAUGGGCGAAAGCCUGACGGAGCAACGCCGCGUGAGUGAUGAAGGUCUUCGGAUCGUAAAACUCUGUUAUUAGGGAAGAACAAAUGUGUAAGUAACUAUGCACGUCUUGACGGUACCUAAUCAGAAAGCCACGGCUAACUACGUG